UACGAGGGGGGCAAGCGUUGUUCGGAAUUAUUGGGCGUAAAGGGCGCGUAGGCGGUUUGACAAGUCUGAUGUGAAAUCUCUGGGCUCAACCCAGAGUCUGCAUUAGAAACUGUCGGGCUUGAGUAUGGGAGAGGUGAGUGGAAUUUCCGGUGUAGCGGUGAAAUGCGCAGAUAUCGGAAGGAACACCUGUGGCGAAAGCGGCUCACUGGACCAUAACUGACGCUGAGGCGCGAAAGCUAGGGGAGCAAACAGG
rnacentral:rRNA from 1 species